rnacentral:lncRNA from 1 species
ACAAAAGUCAUGGAUAGAAGCUAUCCAAGAGUUAAUUAGCCAAUAAAUACAAGGCCCAUAAGAUAGAUCCUAGACAUAAGAGACAAACUAAUUUAGAUCUAAUAGAUGUCAUGGCUAGAGGGAUCAGAAUCUGAAGAAUCAGAGAUAGGGUGAGGAGAUGUAGGAUCAAAUCCAUGAGCACGACCUCGACCACGUCUGCCUCGGCCACGGUAGAGGUACCAACACGAGUAGAGGGGUGAG